rnacentral:rRNA from 1 species
AGGGUUGAUCCCUGGCUCAGGAUGAACGCUGGCGGUGCGCCUAAUGCAUGCAAGUCGAGCGACGCAUACCGGAGGGGUAACCCACUGGUAUGACGGAGCGGCGAACGGGUGAGUAACACGUGAGCAACCUGCCCCACAGAUCGGAAUAGCCCAGGGAAACUUGGAUUAAUACCGGAUGCCCUCCUUGGACCGCAUGGUCCGUUGAGGAAAUGCCUUUGUGCUGUGGGAUGGGCUCGCGACUUAUCAGUUAGUUGGUGGGGUAACGGCCUACCAAGACAAUGACGAGUAGCUGGUCUGAGAGGACGAUCAGCCACACUGGGACUGAGACACGGCCCAGACUCCUACGGGAGGCAGCAGCAGGGAAUCUUGCGCAAUGGGCGAAAGCCUGACGCAGCGACACCGCGUGGGGGGAUGAAGGCCUUCGGGGUUUGUAAAACCGGCUUUUCAGGGAGGGGACCGAAAAUUGACGGUACCUUCCAGGAAGAAAGGGCCCUGGCCAACUACCGUUUGCC